AUAGGCGAAAGCUUGAACGACGUCUACAUUGGAGAGGACUUCGAUAAAACACUUGAGCAACCACGACUACGUCAAAUCAGGCGAAACGGAAAAUACCAAUGUAUACAAUAGACCCUGACACCUGUCUCCUGCUGAGGCUCUCCUUAACCUCUGGACAGAAAUCCAUCAUCUGUAACCGCUUAUCCUGUGCAGGGUUGUGGGCAAGCUGGAGCCUAUCCCAGCUGACUAUGGUGAGCAAGCCUGUGGCGAUGGUGGCAAGGAAAAACUCCCUCAGAUGACAUGAGGAAGAAACCUCGAGAGGAACCAGACUCAAAAGGGAACCUAUCCUCAUUUGGGCAGCAACAGACAUGAUUAUAACAUUAACAGUUUUAACAUGAAGUCAGUUUUGUUGAUGUUAUAACUCUUCAUUGAUGGAAACUUGAGUGCAAAACUGUUCAUGACAACUGCAGUCCUAAAGUUAGCAAGUCAACUGUAGUCCUCAGCCAUAAAAGCAUUACUGUAAGUGUCCAGAGUGUCUUCCAAGUGUGACUUUCAACUGUCCAUAUGGGGCCAUCCUCCACAGGAGCGAUGCGAUGAGACUCCAACCAGACACAGGGCAUC